rnacentral:rRNA from 1 species
UAAAGUAGGAAAGAGCGUAUGGCGGAUGCCUAGGCACAGAGAGGCGAAGAAGGACGCAGCAAACAGCGAAAUGCGACGGGGAGCAGUAAGCAUGCAACGAUCCGUCGAUGUCCGAAUGGGGGAACCCAUCCGGGAUAGAGCCCGGAUAUCCUGCAGUGAACAGAUAGCUGCAGAGAGGCGAGACUCAGGGAACUGAAACAUCUAAGUACCUGAAGGAAGAGAAAAUAAGAAUGAUUCCCUAAGUAGCGGCGAGCGAAAGGGGAGGAGCCCAAACCGAUUUUAGGAUCGGGGUUGUAGGACUGUCAGGAAAGAGCAAGGAGGCAUUAUAGGCGAACGGACUGGGAAGUCCGGCGAGACAGGGUGAAAGCCCCGUAGCCGAAAUAGUGAAGAAGCUUGAGACAGCACCUGAGUACGGCGGGACACGAGGAAUCCUGUCGGAAUCUACCAGGACCAUCUGGUAAGGCUAAAUACUCCUCUAGUGACCGAUAGUGAACCAGUACCGUGAGGGAAAGGUGAAAAGAACCCCGGGAGGGGAGUGAAAGAGAACCUGAAACCAUAUGCUUACAAGAAGUUAGAGCCCGUUAAAGGGUGAUAGCGUGCCUUUUGUAGAAUGAACCGGCGAGUUACGAUAUGGAGCGAGGUUAAGCAGGAUAUGCGGAGCCGAAGCGAAAGCGAGUCUUAAGAGGGCGAAAGUUGCAUGCAGUAGACCCGAAACCGGGUGAUCUAGCCAUGACCAGGUUGAAGUUGGGGUAAAACCCGAUGGAGGACCGAACCGACCCCCGUUGAAACGUUGGCGGAUGAGUUGUGGCUAGGGGUGAAAUUCCAAUCGAACUCGGAGAUAGCUGGUUCUCCCCGAAAUAGCUUUAGGGCUAGCGUCGAGGUAGAGAGUCAUGUGAAGGUAGAGCACUGAAUAUGUGAUGGCCCCAUCCCGGGGUACUGAAUAUAAUCAAACUCCGAAUGUCACAGAGACAUGCUCGGCAGUCAGACAGCGGGUGAUAAGGUCCACUGUCAAGAGGGAAACAGCCCAGACCAUCAGCUAAGGUCCCAAAAUGUAUGCUAAGUGGAAAAGGAUGUGGAGAUGUACAGACAACUAGGAGGUUGGCUCAGAAGCAGCCAUCCUUUAAAGAGUGCGUAACAGCUCACUAGUCGAAUGACUCUGCGCCGAUAAUUUACCGGGGCUAAGUAUAUUACCGAAGCUAUGGAUUUGCGAUGAGCAAGUGGUAGGGGAGCGUUCUAUGAGCGAAGAAGCAGUACCGGAAGGAGCUGUGGAGCAUAUAGAAGAGAGAAUGCCGGUGUGAGUAGCGGAACGUGGGUGAGAAUCCCACGCACCGAAAACCCAAGGUUUCCAGAGGAAGGUUCGUCCGCUCUGGGUAAGUCGGGACCUAAGGCGAGGCCGAGAGGCGUAGUCGAUGGACAACAGGUAGAGAUUCCUGUACUUACGGUAUGAAUGAAGGAGUGACGGAGAAGGCUAGGUGAUCCUGCGGCUGGAAGAGCAGGUGCAAGCGAGGUAGCAGAUAUCCAGGCAAAUCCGGAUAUCGGGAAAGCGAAGGCGUGAAGCGGAUGGAAAGCCAAGGCAAGUACAGAAGUCAUUGAAGCCAGCUUCCAAGAAAAGCUUCUAGUGAUAAUCAUACAGUAACCCGUACCGAAAAUGGACACACAUGGGUGAGGAGAGAAUCCUAAGGUGAGCGAGAGAACUAUAGCUAAGGAACUCUGCAAAAUGACUCCGUAACUUAGGGAGAAGGAGUGCUCAUAGAGAUAUGAGCCGCAGUGAAACGGCCCAAGCGACUGUUUACCAAAAACACAGCUCUAUGCUAAGUCGAAAGACGACGUAUAUGGGGUGACGCCUGCCCGGUGCUGGAAGGUUAAGAGGAUGUGUCAGCGCAAGCGAAGCACUGAAUUGAAGCCCCAGUAAACGGCGGCCGUAACUAUAACGGUCCUAAGGUAGCGAAAUUCCUUGUCAGGUAAGUUCUGACCCGCACGAAAGGCGUAACGAUUUGGGCGCUGUCUCAGCUGUAGACUCGGUGAAGUCUUAGUACCUGUGAAGAUGCAGGUUACCCGCGACUAGACGGAAAGACCCCAUGGAGCUUUACUGUAGCUUGAUAUUGGACUUUGAUGCAGGAUGUACAGGAUAGGUAGGAGACUGAGAGACAUGCACGCCAGUGUGUGAGGAGUCGCUGUUGGGAUACUACUCUUCCUGAUUAUUGGAGUUCUAACCGGACGCCAUAAAGCUGGCAACGGGACAGUGUCAGGUGGGCAGUUUGACUGGGGCGGUCGCCUCCCAAAG